rnacentral:lncRNA from 1 species
UGAUGAUAAGAGAGGACAAAGCACCAUGGCCGGCGAUCCCUCCCUUGAUCAACCUCCAUUAGUGGGUCACCGACCAACCCGAAACUCUGAUAGUCAUCUGCCAACUACCGGCAUGAUGACGACUGGCCGAUCAUGGGAGAUCAGAUAUGGGAAGGAGGCUGUCCAAAAUCGAUGCUACUCUCCACCAAUACAUCCCAAUUAGCGGCCGCCAAAAACACUCAAUCGACAGACCAUCGCCCUCUCACCAAGAGCCACUACCC